GCUGCUUCAAACGCUUGUUCAGAGGUUUUUCAGGUCUGUUUCAUUAAUGGAUCUUCUGUGUGUCUAUCUGCUGAAGGGUCUUCAUGAAACUCAAAGUCUUUGUGAAGCUAAAGAGACUCCAGCAGCAGCUCCUACAGCAGCUCGAGGGGCAAUGGGCUCUAAAAUCAUCCCUCUGCCUGAUUUUGCCUUGGAGAGAGAAGACACCCAUCAGAACACUGUUACCCAGAAUGCACUGCUGUUAUCACUGCCAGACAAAAAGGAUUCCAAUGACUCCAGAUCAAAAUUUCUAUGAGGAAUCAGAUCUAUCUCUAUUUCAUCAUCAAUUGCAGCUUUUUGAGAUCAAAUUAAUCCAAGAUAACUCACGGUGUAAUGAAUGAGGCUAGUUUCCAUUCAUCCCUUACCAAGCGUUUCUUCCAUUGCCUGUUUCUUUGCCUUCAUGUUAUAACUGUGACCACUGUGUCUGUUUUACUUCAUUUUCCUAGUUGAACUGAACUGUUGAUUACAUUGUCUGCUUCCACAAUUAAGUCUCAGCCUUGUGUUUUGGAGCUUUUAUCUAGGGAACAUAUUGAUCCUAUAUUGAGUGCUUAUUGUAACCAGCAGAGGGCAGCAUGAAUGCAAAUAAAGGAUGUUUUUCGCUGUUGUUACUUUCUCUUCGUCAUGUAGAUGUGAUGAGAGUUUCUCAUCUCAACAGCAGACCGCAACUGCAGUAAAUGAUUCUGCUAAACAUCUGCGAAUGUGUGUUAUACCAAAGUAAAUCUAAAUUC
ensembl:lncRNA